CAAUAGCGUAUAUUAAAGUUGUUGCAGUUAAAAAGCUCGUAGUUGGAUUUGUGGCGUACGGUGUGUUCCGGGCACUUGUUGUCUGAGUAACCUGCUGUUGCCAUCCUUGGGUGGAACCUGUGUGGCAUUGGGUUGUCGUGCAGGGGAUGCCCAUCAUUUACUGUGAAAAAAUUAGAGUGUUCAAAGCAGGCUUAUGCCGUUGAAUAUAUUAGCAUGGAAUAAUGAGAUAGGACUUUUUUGCUAUUUUGUUGGUUUGCGCAAAGAGGUAAUGAUUAAUAGGGACAGUUGGGGGUAUUCGUAUUCCAUUGUCAGAGGUGAAAUUCUUGGAUUUUUGGAAGACGAACUACUGCGAAAGCAUUUACCAAGGAUGUUUUCAUUAA
rnacentral:rRNA from 1 species